UUAUGUUUAUCACUUUUACGCUACCAGUUUUCAUAACACUACUAAAAAGAUAUUUUCAAAAAUAACUUCAUUCUUAAAUGACAAAAGACUCUUAUGCUUUUGUUCUUUAUAUAUCUAAUAAAUAAAUAUAUAAAUAAAUAAAAAAAUUAAUAAAUAACUUUUUAAAUUUUUUUUUCGAAUUAUACUCUUUUGAAAUUCAAACCCUAAACCAUAAAACUCUACUCUAAACCCCAAACCAAAAAUCUUAAACCCUAUUUUUUUUUGAAAUACGAACCCUCAAUCCUAAACCUUAUAUUUUUUUAAAAAAAUACGAACCCUAAACCUUGAAACAUCAACUUUAAACCCUAAAACAUCAAUUUUAAAUCCUAAAUCCUAAACUUCAACUCUAAACCCUAAACAAUAAACACUAAACUCUAAACUAUCAACCCUAAACCCGAAAAAAUUAACUCUAAACCCUAAAACAUAAACUCUAAAUCCUAAACCUUUAACUCUAAACCUUAAAUCCUAAACCCUAAAACCGAAAACCCAAGAGUUGAUAUUUUAGGGUUUAGUUUGAAGGUUUAGGUUUAUAUGGUUUAGAUUUGAAGGUUUAGGGUUCGAAUUUCAGAAAAAUAUAGAGUUUAUGGUUUCGAAUUGAUGUUUUAGGGUUUAGAUUUGAAGGUUUAGGGUUUAGAGUUGAUGUUUCGGGAUUUAGGGUUUAGAGUUGAUGUUUCAUCGUUUAGGGUUUAGAGUUGAUAUUUUAAGUUUAGAU
rnacentral:lncRNA from 1 species